AAUAUUGCACAAUGGGCGAAAGCCUGAUGCAGCGACGCCGCGUGGGGGAUGAAGGCCCUAGGGUCGUAAACCCCUUUCAGUGGGGACGAAAUUGACGGUACCCACAGAAGAAGGUCCGGCCAACUACGUGCCAGCAGCCGCGGUAAGACGUGGGGACCGAGCGUUGUCCGGAUUUAUUGGGCGUAAAGAGCUCGUAGGCGGUUGCGUAAGUCGGAUGUGAAAACUUGAGGCUCAACCUCGAGACGCCAUCCGAUACUGCGCUGACUUGAAUCCAGUAGGGGAGUGUGGAAUUUGUUGUGUAGCGGUGAAAUGCACAGAUAUGACAAGGAACACCUAUGGCGAAGGCAGCACUCUGGGCUGGUAUUGACGCUGAGGAGCGAAAGCAUGGGUAGCAAACAGGAUUAGAUACCCUGGUAGUCCAUGCCGUA
rnacentral:rRNA from 1 species